UGCAAGUCGAGGGGUAGAGGCCUUCGGGCCUUGAGACCGGCGCACGGGUGCGUAACGCGUAUGCAAUCUGCCUUCCACAGAGGGAUAGCCCAGAGAAAUUUGGAUUAAUACCUCAUAGCAUCAUGACCCGGCAUCGGGAUAUGAUUAAAGUCACAACGGUGGAAGAUGAGCAUGCGUCCCAUUAGCUAGUUGGUAAGGUAACGGCUUACCAAGGCUACGAUGGGUAGGGGUCCUGAGAGGGAGAUCCCCCACACUGGUACUGAGACACGGACCAGACUCCUACGGGAGGCAGCAGUGAGGAAUAUUGGUCAAUGGGCGCAAGCCUGAACCAGCCAUGCCGCGUGCAGGAUGACGGUCCUAUGGAUUGUAAACUGCUUUUGUACGGGAAGAAACCCUCCUACGUGUAGGAGCUUGACGGUACCGUAAGAAUAAGGAUCGGCUAACUCCGUGCCAGCAGCCGCGGUAAUACGGAGGAUCCAAGCGUUAUCCGGAAUCAUUGGGUUUAAAGGGUCUGUAGGCGGUCUUGUAAGUCAGUGGUGAAAGCCCAUCGCUCAACGGUGGAACGGCCAUUGAUACUGCUGGACUUGAAUUAUUGGGAAGCAACUAGAAUAUGUAGUGUAGCGGUGAAAUGCUUAGAGAUUACAUGGAAUACCAAUUGCGAAGGCAGGUUGCUACCAAUGGAUUGACGCUGAUGGACGAAAGCGUGGGUAGCGAACAGGAUUAGAUACCCUGGUAGUCCACGCCGUAAACGAUGGAUACUAGCUGUUGGGCGCAAGUUCAGUGGCUAAGCGAAAGUGAUAAGUAUCCCACCUGGGGAGUACGAACGCAAGUUUGAAACUCAAAGGAAUUGACGGGGGCCCGCACAAGCGGUGGAGCAUGUGGUUUAAUUCGAUGAUACGCGAGGAACCUUACCAAGGCUUAAAUGCAGACUGACCGGUUUGGAAACAGACCUUUCGCAAGACGGUCUACAAGGUGCUUGCAUGGUUGUC
rnacentral:rRNA from 1 species